rnacentral:rRNA from 1 species
GACGAACGCUGGCGGCGUGCUUAACACAUGCAAGUCGAACGGAAAGGCCCUGCUUUUGUGGGGUGCUCGAGUGGCGAACGGGUGAGUAACACGUGAGUAACCUGCCCUUGACUUUGGGAUAACUUCAGGAAACUGGGGCUAAUACCGGAUAGGAGCUCUUGCUGCAUGGUGGGGGUUGGAAAGUUUCGGCGGUUGGGGAUGGACUCGCGGCUUAUCAGCUUGUUGGUGGGGUAGUGGCUUACCAAGGUUUUGACGGGUAGCCGGCCUGGGAGGGUGGACGGCCACAUUGGGACUGAGAUACGGCCCAGACUCCUACGGGAGGCAGCAGGGGGGAAUAUUGCGCAAUGGGCGGAAGCCUGAUGCAGCGACGCCGCGUGCGGGAUGACGGCCUUCUGGUUGUAAACCACUUUCGCCUGUGACGAAGCGUGAGUGACGGUAAUGGGUAAAGAAGCACCGGCUAACUACGUG